rnacentral:rRNA from 1 species
AUUGAACGCUGGCGGCAGGCCUAACACAUGCAAGUCGAGCGGCAGCGGGUUCCCGCGAGGGGAUGCCGGCGAGCGGCGGACGGGUGAGGAACACAUCGGAAUCUGCCUGGUUGUGGGGGAUAACGUAGGGAAACUUACGCUAAUACCGCAUGAGACCCUGAGUCGACGGACUGGGGGUGAAAGUGAGGGACCUUCGGGCCGUCACGCGACCAGAUGAGCCGAUGUCGGAUUAGCUAGUUGGCGGGGUAACGGCCCGCCAAGGCGACGAUCCGUAGCUGGUCUGAGAGGAUGAUCAGCCAC